GGAGAGAGGCAGCCAUGAUGGUGGCCACUGACAGAAAGAGGCUUUCAAGGAGCUGGAGACAAAAGCCAGUGAACAGCACACACUGACCCCAGAGAGUCCAGAUAAUCCCAUCCCAUUCAAGGCUUUGAACUCUUGCAGGACUGGCAGGCAGAGGGGUUUGCACGCUGAUCUUUCGCAUCAACCAUCACUGCACUACAGACUGCAAAUAAUCGAUACGUAUCAUUUUGAAUGGUGUGACCAGGACCUUGUGACU